AUUGAACGCUGGCGGCAGGCCUAACACAUGCAAGUCGAGCGAGCGGCGGACGGGUGAGUAAUGUCUGGGACACUGCCUGAUGGGGGGGGAUAACUACUGGAAACGGUAGCUAAUACCGCAUACCAUCAGAUGUGCCCAGAGGGGAGUAGCUUGUAGGUGGGGUAACGGCUCACCUAGGCGACGAUCCCUCGAUGGUCUGAGAGGAUGACCAGCUACACUGGAACUGAGACACGGUCCAGAGUCCUCCGGGAGGCAGCAGUGGGGAAUAUUGCACAAUGGGAGCAAGCCUGAUGCAGCCAUGCCGCGUGUGUGAAGAAGGCCUUCGGGUUGUAAAGCACUUUCAGCGGGGAGGCGUUACCCGCAGAAGAAGCACCGGCUAACUCCGUGCCAGCAGCCGCGGUAAUAC
rnacentral:rRNA from 1 species